UACAGAGGUCCCAAGCGUUGUUCGGAUUCAUUGGGCGUAAAGGGUGCGUAGGUGGCGUCGUAAGUCGGGUGUGAAAUUUCGGAGCUUAACUCCGAAACUGCAUUUGAUACUGGCGUGCUUGAGGACUAGAGAGGAGACUGGAAUUUACGGUGUAGCAGUGAAAUGCGUAGAGAUCGUAAGGAAGACCAGUGGCGAAGGCGGGUCUCUGGACAGUUCCUGACACUGAGGCACGAAGGCCAGGGGAGCAAACGGG
rnacentral:rRNA from 1 species